AGAGUUUGAUCCUGGCUCAGAACGAACGCUGGCGGCGUGCUUAACACAUGCAAGUCGAACGGAUCAAGGGGCUUGCUCCUUGGUUAGUGGCGCACGGGUGAGUAACGCGUGGAUAAUCUGCCCGAUGAUCUGGGAUAACAUUUCGAAAGGGGUGCUAAUACCGGAUAAGCCCACGAGGACUUCGGUUUUUGCGGGAAAAGAGGGGGACCUUCGGGCCUCUUGUCAUCAGAUGAGUCCGCGUACCAUUAGCUAGUUGGUGGGGUAAAGGCCUACCAAGGCGACGAUGGUUAGCUGGUCUGAGAGGAUGAUCAGCCACACUGGAACUGAGACACGGUCCAGACUCCUACGGGAGGCAGCAGUGGGGAAUUUUGCGCAAUGGGGGAAACCCUGACGCAGCAACGCCGCGUGAGUGAUGAAGGCCUUCGGGUCGUAAAGCUCUGUCUAGAGGAAAGAAGUGUGGGGCGGCUAAUAACCGUUUCACUUGACGGUACCUCUGAAGGAAGCACCGGCUAACUCCGUGCCAGCAGCCGCGGUAAUACGGAGGGUGCGAGCGUUGUUCGGAAUUAUUGGGCGUAAAGCGCGUGUAGGCGGUUUCUUAAGUCUGAUGUGAAAGCCCCGGGCCUAACCUGGGAAGUGCAUUGGAUACUGGGAGACUUGAGUACGGGAGAGGGUAGUGGAAUUCCUAGUGUAGGAGUGAAAUCCGUAGAUAUUAGGAGGAACACCGGUGGCGAAGGCGGCUGCCUGGACCGAUACUGACGCUGAGACGCGAAAGCGUGGGUAGCAAACAGGAUUAGAUACCCUGGUAGUCCACGCCGUAAACGAUGAGUACUAGGUGUUGCGGGUAUUGACCCCUGCAGUGCCGCAGCUAACGCAUUAAGUACUCCGCCUGGGAAGUACGGUCGCAAGACUAAAACUCAAAGGAAUUGAUGG
rnacentral:rRNA from 1 species